UUUUUAUAAUUUUUUAUAAGUAAAAUCUGCUCCAUGUUAUAUAAAUAGCCGCAAAAUUUAACUGUGCUAAGGUAGCAUAAUCAUUUACCUUUUAAUUAAAGGUUUGUAUGAAAGAUUUAACAAUUAAAAUUCUUUUUUAUUAAUUUUAUUUAAAAUUUAAUUAAAUAUAAAAAUAUAUUUAUAAAAAAAAAAGACGACAAGACCCUAUUGAACUUUACUAAAGUUAAGCUGGGGCAGCUAAUUAAAGAUAAUUUUAAUUCAUUUUUAAAAAAAAAAAUCUGAUUAAAUCAAUAUGAACAAGUUACCAUAGGGAUAACAGCGUAAUAAUUUUCCAAAGCUCUUAUUUAAAAGAAUGAUUACGACCUCGAUGUUGAAUUAAAAUUACUUUAAAUUGCAAUAAAUUUAAAAGUAGGUCUGUUCGACCUUAAAAAUUUUACA
rnacentral:rRNA from 1 species